rnacentral:sRNA from 1 species
ACAACAAAAAUAAAAAACGGCAUCUCUAAAGAACAACAACAUGAAACGACUCUGACACAAUAAAAAUAAGCACGGCAGAGACGGCGCAAACUGAUUUUUUUGGAGAGGAUACGCGUUUCGGGGUCUAGUCCCCGCAGUCGGACAGAGAACAAUAAAACUACCUUGAGGUAGCGCCCGGACUGACUGGAUCACCUGGUGUUCAUCGCGAUAUCGGCGAUCAAAGAAAUACGUUUGCUCUUGGCCCGGCUGGGGCCGACUGAAGCAUCUUCAGGGUGGCGGUCGACAAGAACAACAACAGAUCGAGCACAAGAAGAACAAAGCACAAAGUCGAUUUGGAGGGGAGCUCAGGCUCCCCUCCGUGCUUUGGCAGGUCACCCCGCUUACUCCCGCAGCCU